rnacentral:rRNA from 1 species
CCCUAGUGGCGGACGGGUGAGUAACGCGUGGGUAACCUGCCAUAUACAGGGGGAUAACACUUAGAAAUAGGUGCUAAUACCGCAUAAGCGCACAGGGGCGCAUGCCCCGGUGUGAAAAACUCCGGUGGUAUAUGAUGGACCCGCGUCUGAUUAGCCAGUUGGCAGGGUAACGGCCUACCAAAGCGACGAUCAGUAGCCGGCCUGAGAGGGUGGACGGCCACAUUGGGACUGAGACACGGCCCAAACUCCUACGGGAGGCAGCAG